rnacentral:rRNA from 1 species
GACGGAGGAUGCAAGUGUUGUCCGGAUUCAUUGGGUUUAAAGGGUGCGUAGGCGGCCUUGUAAGUCAGCGGUGAAAUACCCUCGCUCAACGAGGGAACUGCCGUUGAUACUGCGAGGCUUGAGUUCGUGCGAGGUUGCUGGAAUGCGUGGUGUAGCGGUGAAAUGCAUAGAUAUCACGCAGAACACCGAUUGCGAAGGCAGGUGACUGGCACGCGACUGACGCUGAGGCACGAAAGCGUGGGGAGCAAACAGG